UCUGGUAUCUAAAGAUAUGCAAUGAAGGCACCAGGUGAGUCUUGCUGGGGAGAGCAUUUCAUAAUUGGAGAGCCACUGCAGAAAAUGUCCAUUCUUGUGUUGCCAUCCUCCUGAUCUCUCGUAGAAGAGGCAGACAAAGAAGGACCUCAUAUGAUGAUUGCAAGAUCCAGGUCAGUUCAUAUGGAGAGAGGCAGUUCUUGAGGUAUUGUGGUCUUGAGCCGUCAGGGGGGUACUUAAGGGUAUGCAGUACCGGCACUGCUCUUUUGUUGUUGUUAAAAGUGUGGCACUUACCGUCACAACUUCAUGGUACAUAACAGAACCUAUUUUUCUAGAAAAAAAGCACUGGAUACAUUAUUUAAAACAUGCAACAAAUUCAACAGCCACAACACAACCAAUUAUUACAUAUUUAAAACCAACCCAGAUUUCAUUCCGUCACAUGGGCCAGAAAGGUAGUGCCUGAUGGGAGCUUUAGUACUCUCUUCUCCUUUUUCCUACUGAAUUUGAGAAUUGACUUGAGACUUCUAUUCUGAAGUAUAAACUGCUUUGUAAAGACUGCAGAAGCAGAAGUAAGCAACCAUUCCUUUUGUUACGCCUGCAGUUUUCUAAAUGGUGGCCAUUUCUAAUGCAGUAUAUACUCCAAUCCCUGAUAAAAGUCAACAUGUAAAGGCUUAGAAAAGAAAUCAUUGUUCUCAAGAGGCAUUCAUGUGUUUGCACACAAUAGGGCAGGCCAGCUGGGAGUGCUGAUCCAAUACUGAACCUGGCAGGAAUUAUGAUUCUCACUAUUUUCCACAUGAUCAACCACUGUGCACCAAAAAUGCUUUCCCCCCAGUAUUGUGUACUCCCACAAUUUCUUAACUGUGCUGAAUUCAUCCUGACAUGAUUUUCAGAAGAAGUUUACAACAGCAUUACUACAUAGAAUUGCCAUAUUUCAAACAGUGAAAAAAAGUUGUUGAGCUUUUGGGGCAAAAAUUCACACACAAAGCUAGUUUUAUGGAAAAAUGGCAAAAGAGGCUGCCAUACGUCCAGAUUUCCCCAGACAUUUCCCCAAUUUCUGCCCGGACACUGCUGCCAACUGCAGUAUUCUGGAUAUGUCCGGGGAAAUCCAGACGUAUGGCAACCCUAAGCACACAGGAUUUGUAGAGGAAUAAUGGUUUUAUUUAGUGCCCCCCCCAAAAGCAGGAUUGAACAAAACUGAGCAGCUGUGAGUUGCAUCAGCCCCCACCCCAUAUUGCCAAUUAGUGCUCCUUUCCUGGCACUAAAUAGAAUGGGAGACUUCAUAAACUCAGAACAAAUAAAAAAUAUUGACAAAGUACCAUACGCCAGAAGUCAUGACACAGUAACCAUCCACAGAAUAUCCAUGACAUUCAUGCAAUCCUAAUCCAUAAAAUUUGUGAGAUAUUGUGCUGUCUUUCUUCACGAAAUACUGGACUUGUUAGCACUAAAAACUACUUCAUAUGCUGGGGAAUGAGAGCUCCGCAACACAGAGGAAAAAAUUAAGAACUCCUGUGAAUAAAGUCAGUGUACAAAUUGAAACAAUAAACUUUACACAGGCAGUUAAAACUCAUGUCCUAGUAUACCUUCUUUUUUUUUGCAACUCUAGGUAAUUAUGGAUAAACAAUUUAAAAGUUACACUUAAUAAAUAAAAUAAAACACAUGGAAGUAGUCUUAGUAAAUAAAUGGAUACAUCACCUAGCUGUAGUAUCAAUAUUUAUAGCCAAUUUAGUGCCAAGGGAACCAACUAUUGUGAUAAAAGGAAAAGGAAAAAGCGGCUGCUAGAAACACAACACUGGUGUUGUUAGGACACCAGUACCUAUUUUUAUGUCAUUUCUGCACAAAACAGCAGUGCCCCUUGUUUUACUUUUAAUUAUUUUGAUCCAGCAGUUGCAGUUGGGAAGAGGCGUUGAGGACUAGUGACUCAUCUCCGACUAAAAGGUGGAGCUUCCCUCCAGGAACACCAUUAUUCUCACACGUAUACAGUUACAAGCAAACAGCGCCUGCUGAGCCAGAAGGGGAGAACUUCUUAACUUUCGUUCGCUUUAUAAGCGCCAGAAACACCACCCCCGUCCUCACUAGUUAGCUGGGAGCAAGCGAGCUCUGCCGUUCCACCUUAAAUCCCUUAUCAGCCGCUCGUCGCGCUGACCAAUAAUAUCCUUAAUCCUAGGGGGGAGGAGCAACGAGAAAAAUAUGCUAAAUAAUUGUGAUUCAUUUGCAUAACUGUUGAAACGGCCAAUAUGCGGAUUGGCCGGCGGGGGAAAAAAAGCAGCUCGGCGCAUCCGGCCCCCUGCUUCCCGGUAGGAGGUGUGGCCAAAAGGGAGUGGGAGGAGAGAUCGGUGCUCAUUUGCAUAACGGCCAAACGUAUGCUGUAGGUUGUGUUUUUUUGAAUCGGCGGCGGCAGCGGAGGCAGACGGCAGCGACCGUGGGCAGAGCUCUAAAGCGCGGGCGGCGGCGGCGGAGGACGCGCGCGCAGGUACCACUCGGACUCUGAAGGGCAGGGAGGGAGCGGGGCUGCUGGGUACGAGUCAGGGCUUGCGUCGGAAACGGCGGCAACCAGCGGCAGUUUUACCAGAAAGCAACUGGACUAGUCACCCUCAGGCUGCGUUUUGUCGCGCGGGGAAGGCUUCUUCUUUUCUCCCGGAUUCCUCCAACCUGCUUCUCACGGAUCUCGGCUGCUCUGGAGGCUCCCUGCGGCGCUCUGCUGCCCCCAGCGGCAGCUGCUGGUUGCUUCUUUCCCAACCCCCACCCACGCGCUGCCUGUCUGGCCGGGAGGAGGAGGAGCCCUCCCUGCUGGCAGGAAGUGCUUACUCCCGGACAUGCGCAGUGCGUAAGCGCGCGCGAAGCCCUCGCCUGUAGCUCUCGUGGGGUGGAGAGGCGCCACGAGGAGCUGAGGCUUCCGUUCGCUUUGCUUCUAAGCACACGAGGACAAAUAAGCUGGAAUUCGGAGCAAUCGGGAUUUAGAGCAACAUGCAUAAGAUGUUUCCAACUUAAUCCUCACAACAAUCCUGUAAGAAACACAAGACAGCCGUACUUCCAGACUUGAGGUAAUGCUGAGGUAUGUACAAGCUCAGGAACAAAUCUAAGGAACAAAUCUAAAGGGGGGAUGGGACCCUGCCCCAGCAUUUAAUGAAUCAAUAGGAUGGAUUGUGGAGACUGAGACACUGUGGGGGGUGGGCAGUGGAGUAGAAUUGUGUGGCUGGAACCGGAAGACAAAAACAUAUAAAGAGUAGAAAAGAUCAGUUCGUUGUUUGGAUAGAAGCCAUUUCUAUCCAAAGUCAUUUAGUUUUAAAUUACUCUGGGAGCAGAAGAUAGAGCUGCUCAUAGACAUCAGUGAAGAGAUUAUAUAAUUUAAUGUACAGGCAAUCCUUGUUUUGUGCAGGGGUUAUGUUCCCCCACGGGUGUUGGCAGAAGACAUCCCCCCACCCCCCCAGCCUAGGCUUGUGCCCCGGGAGGUCACUUUGGUUCUGCUAACACAGCAGUUUGACUUUACCCCUCGGAGGCACACCCUCUUGAGACAGAAGGAUGCCAACAAAAACAUGCCUGUCGUUUGCCUGUCCUAAACUCCUUUGUGAGUCUUUCCUUCUUUGUGAGAAGAUCAUGAAUAUAAUGCAGAAUCUUUUUUGCACACUCUAGAUUAUCACCAUUUUGAUGUUUAUAUUCAGGUUCUUUCUUUUUAGAUAUAAUUUUUUAUUAGUUUUACAUAUAAUCACAUUGCGUAACAUCAUAUCCUCUUAUUAAAUCUCUUUGGCUCAACUGCGCCUAACAACGUCCCCUCACUCCCGCCUUACAAACUUAAAUUUUGUAUCUGUGCAUUUCACUUCCUUUCCUAUUCUUGUUGUAUCAUUACCUAAGUUAUUACAUUACUUAUCCUGAGUAGGUAGUAAUUUCAUCUUACAAAUCUUCAGGUAACACUGCUAGUGAUGUUAUAUUCAGGUUCCUUCUAUUUGGACUCUUUUUGGUUAGUGUUGUGUAUUGCAUUCUACUAACUGCUCAGGACCGCAAUACCUCAAGGACCUCCUCCCCAUAUAAACCAAACCAGGCUUUUGUGCUCAUUAUCU